rnacentral:rRNA from 1 species
AAUGGCUGCAGUAAUUUGACUGUACAAAGGUAGCAUAAUCAUUAGUUUUUUAAUUAAAAGCUUGUAUGAAAGGUUGGACGAAGUAAAAUCUGUCUCUUUUUAAUAUAAUUAGAAUUUAAUUUUUAAGUUAAAAAGCUUAAAUUUUUAUAAAAGACGAGAAGACCCUAUAGAGUUUUAUAAUUUUGAUUUAAUUAUUAAUUAAGAUUUAUUUAUAUUAUUAAAUUAAUAUUAUUUUAUUGGGGUAAUAAAAAGAUUAAAAUAAUUCUUUUUUUAUAAACCAUUAAUUUAUGAAUAUUUGAUCCAUUAUUUAUGAUUAUAAGAUUAAAUUACCUUAGGGAUAACAGCGUAAUUUUUUUUGAGAGUUCAUAUCGAUAAAAAAGUUUGCGACCUCGAUGUUGGAUUAAAGAUUAAUUUAGGUGUAGAAGUUUAAAUUUUUGGUCUGUUCGACCAUUAAAUCUUUACAUGAUCUGAGUUCAAACCGGUGUAAGCCAGGUUGGUUUCUAUCUUUAUUAAAAUUAUAUAUUUUAGUACGAAAGGACCAAAUAUAAUAUAUAGAAAUAUAUAUAUUAUUGAAUAA